AUAUUUAAGUCUCCCAAACAAAGUUUGGAGACUUAUUGUUUUUGCUCAGUUCUUAUUAGGUCUUUCCACUUUUCUGUGGAAAGACCUAUUGUUUUUCUUCUGAUUAUUAGGUCUUUCCACUUUUCUGUGGAAAGACCUAUUGUUUUUCUUCUGAUUAUUAGGUCUUUCCACUUUCCUGUGGAAAGACCUAUUGUUUUUCUUCUGAUUAUUUUUUUUUUUUUUUCUUCCGCCUAAUUUUGUUCUUGCGAUAAACAUUUGUUUCGCAAUAUGUCGCUUAGAUAUUUUGUAUAUGAUAUCGAACAGUUUAUGCGCUUUUGAAAUUUACCCUGCGUAAACAAAUACUUUUCUUUGUAGGAGUUAUCUCCCCAAACACUGUUUUCCUUGUUAGCGCAUCUUCUUC
rnacentral:lncRNA from 1 species